rnacentral:rRNA from 1 species
UCUCCUGGAAAACGGGUGGUAAUGCCGGAUGUUCCACAUGAUCGCAUGUGAUUGUGGGAAAGAUUCUAUCGGCGUGGGAUGGGGUCGCGUCCUAUCAGCUUGUUGGUGAGGUAACGGCUCACCAAGGCUUCGACGGGUAGCCGGCCUGAGAGGGCGACCGGCCACAUUGGGACUGAGAUACGGCCCAGACUCCUACGGGAGGCAGCAGUGGGGAAUAUUGCACAAUGGGCGCAAGCCUGAUGCAGCGACGCCGCGUGAGGGAUGGAGGCCUUCGGGUUGUAAACCUCUUUUGUUUGGGAGCAAGCCUUCGGGUGAGUGUACCUUUCGAAUAAGCGCCGGCUAACUACGUGCCAGCAGCCGCGGUAAUACGUAGGGCGCAAGCGUUAUCCGGAUUUAUUGGGCGUAAAGGGCUCGUAGGCGGCUCGUCGCGUCCGGUGUGAAAGUCCAUCGCUUAACGGUGGAUCUGCGCCGGGUACGGGCGGGCUGGAGUGCGGUAGGGGAGACUGGAAUUCCCGGUGUAACGGUGGAAUGUGUAGAUAUCGGGAAAGAACA